ensembl:lncRNA
CUGCUGUCCUGCUUUCCAUCACAAGCUAAAAGAUUUCCAAUAGCAGCUGGUGUUUUCCUGGGUGGAGAUCAAAGCCAGAAUUUGACAGGGCAGACGUGAACACCUCCAGCCUGUCCCACCAGAGCCCUGAUGCAGAAGGGAGACCCAAGCCAGCCCAUACAGGCACAGUCAACACAAAGAGAGCCAAGGUGGAAGUUGGUGCAGAGCUCAGCUGGCAGGCAGAGGAGAGCCAGCAGGUUCAAAAGUUUUGAGGGGAUCAUGAGCCACUUGGGAGGCUGAGCAGGAGAGCACUGAACCCUGCAGGUGGAGGAUGGGUCCUACUUCUGAGAUUCCUACAGAACAGCAAAGACUGCCAGUCCUGUCCUGUCACCAAAGCAGAGACAGAAGCCCACAAGGAUGCACGUGUGUGUAACCACAACUCCACUUCUCCCAUGCAUGGACACCUAGGCCAUCUGUCCUAUAAUAAGCCCUCAGUAGGGGCUGGAGAGAUGGCUCAGGGGUUAAGAGCACUGACUGCUCUCCAAGAGGUCCUGAGUUCAAUUCCCAGCAACCACAUGGUGGCUCACAACCAUCUGUAAUGGGCAUCCCAUGCCCUCUUCUGCUGUGUCUGAAGAUAGCAACAGUGUACCCACAUCCAUGAAACAAAUAAAUAAAUCUUUAAAAAAAA